rnacentral:lncRNA from 1 species
CGGGAUUCCUCCCCUCCCCCCGACUGGGCCUUCCUCGCCCUGGGGUCCCCCGCCUGGGACGGGACUUCUCCGGGACCCUGAGCUCUGCGCCCCGUCCUCCUUUCCGGCCGCUCUCUCUCCUCUCUCCCUUCUCACCACUGGGCUUCUUACCGUGUCCUGCUGAGGGGCGUGAAGUUCCUCACUGUACCGCGCCCAGCUGCUACGAGGAGAGACCGAGAUCACGGGCGAGGCGGGUGUCCCUGGAGGGGGAUCUCUCUCUAAGCGCUGCUCGGCAACACAACCCCUCCGCCCCCCCAUCCUUCUCACUCCGGGGGAAAAAGCACUUGCUUUCCCCAGGCAAAUUUCGGGAUAAAAACUUUUAAUUAAAAAUAACAAUACCCUUCCCGACUCCCUGCGCCUUUCUGAUACAGUGUGCAUUGCUAGCUUCGCCCUGGGCAGAG